AGAGUUUGAUUAUGGCUCAGGACGAACGCUGGCGGCAUGCCUAACACAUGCAAGUCGAACGGGGGUAGCAAUACCCUAGUGGCGAACGGGUGAGUAACACAUAAGCAAUCUGCCCUUCACAGGGGGAUAACAGCGGGAAACUGCUGCUAAUACCGCAUAAGACCACGGUACCGCAUGGUACAGGGGUAAAAACGAAUCAGUGGUGAAGGAUGAGCUUAUGUCCCAUUAGCUAGUUGGUGAGAUAACAGCCCACCAAGGCGACGAUGGGUAGCCGACCUGAGAGGGUGAUCGGCCACACUGGAACUGAGACACGGUCCAGACUCCUACGGGAGGCAGCAGUGGGGAAUAUUGGGCAAUGGAGGAAACUCUUACCCAGCAAUACCGCGUGAGUGAAGAAGGUCUUCGGAUUGUAAAGCUCUUUGAUUGGGGACGAAGAAAGUGACGGUACCCAAAGAACAAGCCCCGGCUAACUACGUGCCAGCCGCCGC
rnacentral:rRNA from 1 species